rnacentral:lncRNA from 1 species
GUAGAUAAUGUAUGUUUAGAGGUUGAGUUUGGUUGCUCAGAAGCUUUCUGCUCAAAGGGUGUAUGUGCAGAUGAUUAUGAUUCUUCAGUCUCACUUUGUUCAUCCACCUCUUCCUCAAAUUGUGGAGGAGAUGAAGCUACAUUUGGACUCUUUUUUUUUGUACCUUUUGAGCUGUGGCUCCUCUUCUUCAUAGUCAGACUCAUCAAAGAGCUUUCGAGGUACGCUUCCUUAAG